rnacentral:lncRNA from 1 species
UAGAACCCCAAUCGCAGGCCAUGGUGGGGUGGGGGCUUCACCUCACCUCAGGGUGGCGAAGUCCGCGGUCUGGCAGCCCGAAGCCCCUGCGCGGUAGGCGGUGCUGGGCGGGAGGCGACCGCCGGCAGCUCCUGCGAUGGCUGACAGGCGCGCAGCACCAGGCCGGCCCGGCACACGGGGAAGGGGCGGGGCCUGGAGCUCCGCCCCGCCCCCGCCUCCCACCUUAGCGGGUAAGCCCAGAAGGUGACUACAUCCGGAGUUACUUGAGGCCAUUCACCUCCGACCCCGCUCGGGGCUGCGGCGCGGUCCUGGCGGCGCGGAGGUGGGAGGCGCGGACCCCGUGUGAGUGGCAGCCAAUGGGAGAACGGCGCGGGGCGGGGCGACGUGAGGCGAUGCAGAUGGUCCGAGCGCCGCUCUGCCACUCGGGGCCAAGCGGCUAGAGGGCGGGCUCAGGGCCGCUUACCGGCGGUCGCUGAGCCCCCAGCCCUGUCUUCGCCGCCCCUUCGGUCGAAGACGCCUGCAGGGCCAGCCGACCGGCUUCGCGUUGCUGGUCGGUGCGUGGGGAAAAUGGCCCCACAAACACGUCCCAUCAGGCAUAGAGGCGCCUGGGCCGCAGAAAAAGUGAGGAGCCGCGCCUAAGCUGCCUGUAGUACGGGAAAAGAAGCACAGCACCAACAAGGACUGAGUGGGGUAGACCGUGUACGGGUCUUGUAUGGAUCUUAUCGUAUUAAUUGCUAACCGAUCGGAAAAGGAGGUACCAGGGAUUAAACCUGGAAUUUCGUACAUGGGAAGCAAGCAUCAACCACUGAACUACACCCACUCCCCCCAACACGAGUCUUCAUCAAUGGACCCGCUAUGCCAUCAUGCCCAAUUUUCUCAAAAAGAAAAAGGAAGAAAGAAGGGUAAAGAAAACCAAAAAUGAAUAAAAAUAAAAUGUAACUUAAAUCAGUGAAUGACAUGGGCACACAGAGUCUAUUACUCCCCACCCUAUCCUCCAUUUCCUACCAGUUCUCAUUACAAGAAUCAAAUACCUUAUGAAUGUUCACUUGACUGAUUCAGGAUGGGUUUUGUUAUUAAAUCUUACCACCACCCCUAUUUUCUCAGGGUGAUAAAGCAGUGACCAGGGACCUGGGGAUAAUUUGUAUUCUUUACCCUUACUUGGAGGGAGCCAUUAAACAGAAAUGAUUAUGGCUUAAGCUUCUGAGAACCAACCAAAGGGAUGGCACUGUGAGGGUAUGCCUGGCCCUUUUUAGGCCAAUGGUUAUGCCACUCUGGAAAGACUUGUUGCCUCCUUUGGAAAGGAUGUGAAACAAAAGGAACUUUCAUAUACUACAAGGGGUAAUGUAAAUAAGGACAACUCUUUAGAAAACUGUUUGGCAUUAACCAGUAAAGUUGAAUUUGCCCAACAUACCCUACAACCCAGCUUCUACUUCUGGGUCUAGACCCUGGAGAGACUCUUUCAAACGUGUCCCAGGAGCAUUGUUCAUUAUGGCCCAAAACUGGGAACAACUCAAAUGCCUCUUGGCAAUAGAAUAGAUAAAUAAAUUGUGGUACAUUUAUACAAUGUGAUAUUAUAAAGUAAUGAAAAUAAACAAACUAUUGCUCCACAAAACAAUAUGAAUGAAUUUUAUAAACAAUGUAGAGUAAAAGAAGCCAGACACAAAAGAGUAUAUAAGUCUCCGUUUAUAUAAAGUUCAAAAAUAGGCAGAACUCACUUGUGGUGUUAAAAUUCUAUAUAAUGGGAGCAGGUAUAGCUCAGUGGUUGAGCACCUGCAUGAGGUCCUGGGUUGAAUCCCGAGUCCCUCCUAAAAAAAAAUGUCUGUACUACAAUUGCUCCUGAUGGUUGGUACUGACAGAAGACAUGAGAAUUUCUGGGGUGAUGGUUACCAAGGUGUAUUCCACUUGUUUAUACAUAAUAAAAAGUUUACUUAAAAAUACAAAGAGUAUGAUUCCAUUUAUAUAAAGUUCAAUAGGCAAAACUAAAUAGAAAGCAUGGAAAGAUAAAGACUGCAAAAAUCAGGAUAGUGGUUAUGUGUGGGAGGAAGAAAAGGAAUUGGUCAGAGAGAGAAAUAUAAAGAGCUUCUAAGAUAUUCGUAAUGUUUAAUUUCUUUUUUGGGUGAUGGUUACAUAGUGUUCACAUUAUUAUUAUUUAAAAUAUAUUUAUGGGGAAGAGGACUUGGCCCAGGCCUGCGGUUCAAACCCCGGGCCUCCUUGGCCUGUGUGGAGCAGGCCCAUGCGCAGUGCUGAUGCGCGCAAGGAGUGCCCUGCCA